rnacentral:rRNA from 1 species
GUUGGUCUGCUCAGUGAAAUUUUAAAUAGCUGCAGUAAUUUGACUGUACAAAGGUAGCAUAAUAAAUAGUYCAUUAAUUGUGGACUGGGAUGAAAGAGUUGAUGAAUUAUAUACUGUCUUUGAAAUAUAAAUUGAAUUUGAUUAAUGAAUUAAAAGGUUCAUUUUUUCUUGAGGGACGAGAAGACCCUGUAGAGUUUUAUAUUUUAUGAUUGUUUAUUUUUGUGAUUUAUUUAGUUGGGGUGAUUGUAAGAUUAUAAUAACUUUUAUUUUCAGGGACGUUAAUGUAUGGAAUUUUUAUGGUUUUUUGUGAUUAAAAGACAAAUUACCUUAGGGUUAACAGCAUAAUUUUUUUGGAGAGUUCUUAUCAAUAAUGAAGUUUGUGACCUCGAUGUUGAAUUAAGAUUAUUUUAUGAUGAAGAGGUUAUAUUAUAUUGGUCUGUUCGAUC